UACGGAGGGUGCGAGCGUUGUCCGGAAUCAUUGGGCGUAAAGGGCGCGUAGGUGGCGGGACAAGCGUGCGGUGAAAGCCUGGGGCUCAACCCCGGGUCGGCCGUGCGAACUGUUUUGCUUGAGCACUGUAGAGGCAGGCGGAAUUCCGGGUGUAGCGGUGGAAUGCGUAGAGAUCCGGAAGAACACCGGUGGCGAAGGCGGCCUGCUGGGCAGUAGCUGACACUGAGGCGCGACAGCGUGGGGAGCAAACAGG
rnacentral:rRNA from 2 species